UGCAGUCAGAAGCCCAGGAUCCCAGAACUGUGAGGGGCCAGACCCGAGCCAGCGAAAGCCUCUGUGGACACACAGCCUUCGCUCUAGACUGGUCUCCCUCUGCGCCCGCUCCCUUUCCUGAUGCUAAGAUAAAAUACAAGCUCCCAGCUGCCGCUCCAGCGCCAUGCCCGCCUGCCUGCUGCCGUGCUCCCCACCACAAGGAUAAUCGCUAACCCUCUGGAACUACAACCUGGAAGUUGGCGCAGAGUAUGAAGGAAGAAAAGCAAAGACAGUGCAGGAAAGAGUUCUGCAAACGAGCAAGUGUCCGAGUUGGCCUACAGAACACCCAACCGUGACCACCGCUUCGCCUGGGAAAAAUAGUCUUCAGUAAAGAUCUGAUGAGGUUUCAAGACUCUUCCUGCAGAAAAAUACAUACCCAAAGUCCAGUUACCUUCCUAUUGCUGAGAAGAGACACCGUGACCAAGGCAACUUCUAAAAGAAAACAUUUAAUUGGGGCUUUGCUUACAAGCCUGAAUCACCCGUAUCACAGCAAGAUUUUUACUUGAAUGACCCAGACAGACUACACCAAUUUUCUGCUUUCUUUUGCUGUGGAAACUGGGCUGUUAGUGGCUACCUUUGAAAUAGUAGAAUGUAUCAAAAAACCAAGGUUGUAACCUAGAAAAAUUUCUACAAUUUCAUUAUUGGGUGUUUCUUAAUAAAGUGUAUGA